CACGGCCGUGAGGAGCAACUCUGUUCCUCAUCUCCCGUUCACCCCGCGGGCGCAGGGCGCGCUCUCUCCUCGUGGCGAUCGCCGACCGUAGCGGCCGCUGCCCGGGUUUUCGUCGGCCGCUUCGCCAUGUCUUCGCUGGACCCUUCGCCAGCGACGAGCACCCAACAGCAGAAGCAAUUGGAGAGUUUGGUAAAUCUACUGACGCAGGGAAGCAGGUUCUACCGCAAAGCAUAUAAUGAACUGUUCUCAGGUGUAACUACUGAGCAGGAUCCGGAUUCAUCGACUAAUAUUCCUGAGUAUAUGCUUUUUGGGUGGCAUCUCUUCUUAAUGCUCCAUUUGAGAUCACCAGAAUUGUUCAAGGACCUGGUGUCCUGCAUCCAUGGAUUAGUUGCUGUGUUGGCCAUACUUUUGAUUCACGUGCCAGCUAAAUUUAGGAGCUUCACGAUUGAAGGCUCUUCUCACUUAAUCAAACAAACUGAGAAAGGCGUGGAUCUUAUUGCUUCAUUAUGUCAUAACUAUCAUACCUCUGAAGAACGUUUGAAAGAAAUGUUGCACAAGUCUCACAAUGCAAUAGAAGACAUUUUCCAUAUGAAAGCACUAAGUGCUUCAGAGUGCAAACCAGAAAAUUUGGAUAAGAUAGACACAGAUGACCUGAUGUAUUUCAAAGGUCUGAUUGAUAUGGAAUGUUUCCAGUCAAAUUUGGAAAAAAUGGAGAAACUAUGUAAUUCUAAUAGCUGUAAAGGGGAGCUUGAUUUUAAAUCAAUUUUGAUCAAUAAUGAUUAUAUUCCCUAUGAUGAGAACUCGACGGGGGAUUCCACCAAUUUAGGACAUUCAAAGGUAUCCAGAAUGUGUGCCUUUGAAACAUUGGCAUCUCCCACAAAGACAAUAAAGAACAUGCUGACUGUUCCUAGUUCUCCUUUGUCACCAGCCACCGGUGGUUCAGUCAAGAUUGUGCAAAUGACACCAGUAACUUCUGCCAUGACGACAGCUAAGUGGCUUCGUGAGGUGAUAUCUUCAUUGCCAGAUAAGCCUUCAUCUAAGCUUCAGCAGUUUCUGUCAUCAUGCGAUAGGGAUUUGACAAAUGCUGUCACAGAAAGGGUCAGCAUAGUUUUGGAAGCAAUUUUUCCAACCAAAUCUUCUGCCAAUCGGGGUGUAUCGUUAGGUCUCAAUUGUGCAAAUGCCUUUGACAUUCCGUGGGCAGAAGCCAGAAAAGUGGAGGCUUCCAAGUUGUACUAUAGGGUAUUAGAGGCAAUCUGCAGAGCGGAGUUACAAAACAGCAAUGUAAAUAAUCUAACUCCAUUGCUGUCAAAUGAGCGUUUCCACCGAUGUUUGAUUGCAUGUUCAGCGGACUUAGUAUUGGCGACACAUAAGACAGUCAUCAUGAUGUUUCCUGCUGUUCUUGAGAGUACCGGUCUAACUGCAUUUGAUUUGAGCAAAAUAAUUGAGAACUUUGUGAGACAUGAAGAGACCCUCCCAAGAGAAUUGAAAAGGCACCUAAAUUCCUUAGAAGAACAGCUUUUGGAAAGCAUGGCAUGGGAGAAAGGUUCAUCAUUGUAUAACUCACUGAUUGUUGCCAGGCCAUCUGUUGCUUCAGAAAUAAACCGCCUUGGUCUUUUGGCUGAACCAAUGCCAUCUCUUGAUGACUUAGUGUCAAGGCAGAAUGUUCGUAUCGAGGGCUUGCCUGCUACACCAUCUAAAAAACGUGCUGCUGGUCCAGAUGACAACGCUGAUCCUCGAUCACCAAAGAGAUCGUGCAAUGAAUCUAGGAACACAGUAGUAGAGCGCAAUUUGCAGACACCUCCACCCAAGCAAAGCCACAUGGUGUCAACUAGUUUGAAAGCAAAAUGCCAUCCACUCCAGUCCACAUUUGCAAGUCCAACUGUCUGUAAUCCUGUUGGUGGGAAUGAAAAAUGUGCUGACGUGACAAUUCAUAUAUUCUUUUCCAAGAUUCUGAAGUUGGCUGCUAUUAGAAUAAGAAACUUGUGCGAAAGGGUUCAAUGUGUGGAACAGACAGAGCGUGUCUAUAAUGUCUUCAAGCAGAUUCUUGAGCAACAGACAACAUUAUUUUUUAAUAGACACAUCGAUCAACUUAUCCUUUGCUGUCUUUAUGGUGUUGCAAAGGUUUGUCAAUUAGAACUCACAUUCAGGGAGAUACUCAACAAUUACAAAAGAGAAGCACAAUGCAAGCCAGAAGUUUUUUCAAGUAUCUAUAUUGGGAGUACGAACCGUAAUGGGGUAUUAGUAUCGCGCCAUGUUGGUAUCAUUACUUUUUACAAUGAGGUAUUUGUUCCAGCAGCGAAGCCUUUCCUGGUGUCACUAAUAUCAUCUGGUACUCAUCCAGAAGACAAGAAGAAUGCUAGUGGCCAAAUUCCUGGAUCACCCAAGCCAUCUCCUUUCCCAAAUUUACCAGAUAUGUCCCCGAAGAAAGUUUCAGCAUCUCAUAAUGUAUAUGUGUCUCCUUUGCGGCAAACCAAGUUGGAUCUACUGCUGUCACCAAGUUCCAGGAGUUUUUAUGCAUGCAUUGGUGAAGGCACCCAUGCUUAUCAGAGCCCAUCUAAGGAUUUGGCUGCUAUAAAUAGCCGCCUAAAUUAUAAUGGCAGGAAAGUAAACAGUCGAUUAAAUUUCGACAUGGUGAGUGACUCAGUGGUAGCCGGCAGUCUGGGCCAGAUAAAUGGUGGUUCUACCUCGGAUCCUGCAGCUGCAUUUAGCCCCCUUUCAAAGAAGAGAGAGACAGAUACUUGAUCAAUUAUAAAUGGUGGCCUCUCUCGUAUAUAGCUCACAGAUCCGUGCUCCGUAGCAGUCUAUUCUUCUGAAUAAGUGGAUUAACUGGAGCGAUUUAACUGUACAUGUAUGUGUUAGUGAGAAGCAGCAGUUUUUAGGCAGCAAACUGUUUCAAGUUAGCUUUUGAGCUAUCACCAUUUCUCUGCUGAUUGAACAUAUCCGCUGUGUAGAGUGCUAAUGAAUCUUUAGUUUUCAUUGGGCUGACAUAACAAAUCUUUAUCCUAGUUGGCUGGUUGUUGGGAGGCAUUCAUCAGGGUUAUAUUUGGUUGUCAAAAAGUACUGUACUUAAUUCACAUCUUUCACAUUUUUCACUAGCAAUAGCAGCCCCAAAUUGCUUUCCUGACUAGGAACAUAUUCUUUACAGCUUCUCCAUCAGACUGAUGAUCCCAUAUUCAGUGUGCUGCAAGUGAUUUGACAUAUGUGGCUUAUCCUUCAGGUAUGUCUCAUGUUGUGACUUCAUUGCUGAUUGCUUUUGUAAUGGUACUGUUGAGUUCAUUUCUGGUUACAAUCAGCCUUUACUGCUUUAUAUUGUUCUACUAAUUUUGGCUUGCACAGCCAGGACGAUUGGUUUUCUGCAUCAAUCAAUCUUUUUUAGGACAAGAUAUUUUUGUAUGCUACACUUCCCAAAUUGCAAUUAAUCCAGAAGUCUACCUUGUUUUAUUCUAUUAGUUCUCAGCAACAGUGAAUGAAUAUGAAUCAGUCAUGCUGAUAGAUGUUCAUCUGGUUAUUCCAAACAAUCUGACAUCGCAUCUCUUUCUGCAAGUGAGAUGAAGAAAACCUGAAAUGCUAUCACCAUUUAAAACAUUGGCUUCUGGAAGUUCAGGUGAUUAGCAGGAGACGUUCUGACAUUGCCAUUGACAUGUACGGUAGUGAUGGCAGGAGACGUUCUUAAACAGCAGCUGCUCCUUCAGCUUGUAAUGUCUGAUUGUAUUGACCAAGAGCAUCCACCUUGCCUUAUGGUACUAACUGAAUGAGCUGGUGACGCUGACUCAUCUGCAUAAUGGCAGAUGCUUAACCAUCUUUAGGAGCUCAUGUCAUGAUUCCAGCUGCACCGUGUGCAAAUGUGAAGGCCCUGCAAGGGCUUUCCAGGCCGCACCAAUCCUGCUUGCUUCUUGAAGAUACAUAUGGUGCCACCUAAAUAAAAGCUGUUUCUGGUUAUGUCUGUCCUUGACAUGUCAACAGAUUAGUGUUGGGUUGCAGUCAUGUGGUGUUUAAGUCUUGGAGAAGGCGAGAAGUCAUUGCUGCCAGCAUUGUGAUCGUCAGGCACAGAAGUACUCAAAAGUGAGAGCUACUUGUUGCGAGCAAACGGAGGGCGAUAUAGGUUGAUAGCCAAUUUCAGUUCUCUAUAUACAAGCAGCGGAUUUUGUUUAGAGUUAGCUUUUGAGAUGCAUCAUUUCUUUCACAUCUGAUUCUGUGUGUUGUAACUCGGAGUCGCGUAGAAGUUAGAAUGCUAACUGACCUUAAUUUUCACCGAAUAAUUUGCUAGCGUUUUUCAGUAUGAAAUCCUUGUCUUAAAUUUUGGAAUGUACCUGUCAUGGGUAUAUUUUGUCUUUA